AAAGAAGGUAAUAAUCCUGUAGUCGAAAAUGUUGUCUCUCUUGAGUGGAUCCUGAGUACGACGGAGCACGUGAAAUUCCGUCGGAAUCUGGGAGGACCAUCUCCUAAGGCUAAAUACUCUCUAGUGACCGAUAGUGAACCAGUACCGUGAGGGAAAGGUGAAAAGCACCCCGGAAGGGGAGUGAAAUAGAACCUGAAACCGUGUGCUUACAAGUAGUCAGAGCCCGUUAAUGGGUGAUGGCGUGCCUUUUGUAGAAUGAACCGGCGAGUUACGAUUUGAUGCAAGGUUAAGCAGUAAAUGUGGAGCCGUAGCGAAAGCGAGUCUGAAUAGGGCGUUUAGUAUUUGGUCGUAGACCCGAAACCAGGUGAUCUACCCUUGGUCAGGUUGAAGUUCAGGUAACACUGAAUGGAGGACCGAACCGACUUACGUUGAAAAGUGAGCGGAUGAACUGAGGGUAGCGGAGAAAUUCCAAUCGAACCUGGAGAUAGCUGGUUCUCUCCGAAAUAGCU
rnacentral:rRNA from 1 species